ACCAUUGCUUUCUAAAUUAUUGGGGGUGGUCACCCUCCCUCGCCUCUCCCCAUGUGUUGCCACUGCAUCGAAUAUAAAAAAAGUUAUCUUAACGAAAAUAUGAGUUUAACUAGCGAUUAGGUAGCCGUAGACUUAAUCGGGUUUUCUUUAAAAAAUAUUUUAAAAUUACACAUCAUUGGGUAAAUAUGCUUAUUAGAAAAAAUCAUAUUAAAACGAAUGGAGAUUGAAAUAGGCUUUAUUUUUGUGUAUUAGGUAAUAUUUCUUUUACUUAGAUAAGGAUUAUAAGUUCCCAUAGCAGCACAUGCCUGCUUUUUUAUAUUUACGGUAAUUUAUGCAUAUACAUACAUUAUGUAUACAUAUUUAUGCAUAUGGGUAUGCAUUUAUAUAGGCACGCUAUAUUUUAAGCAUGCAAAAUUUUUCAUUGUCUUUCAUUGUUUUCUGUAGUGAACAUCAAGUGCCGAAAAUAUAGGAAAAUUGGAAAGAAACGUCCCAAUAAGGUUAGGAGGCAAAGACUGUAUGAGAGAGCAUUGUUGACUUUCUUCUGGAAGAACUAUUUAGAAGACUGUUCUAGAAGAAUGACCCUGUCUACUGGGAAUCGAGUCAUGCAGAGCUCUGAUUAAAUGCUGUUUAGCACUGGUAGCAGGGGAAUGCAGAAAAAGUUUUGGCUCAGCAACCAAAGCAGCGGUCUUUGAAAACAAAAGAAAAUUAAACUUCACUCCCAAAACACGGUUAUCUCUUGUUGCCAGUUUGAGCAAGGUGUCCUGUGACCUUUUUGCAAUGUGACCUGUUUGCCAAUGGAAGUUUGAUCACUUUCCUGGGCGCUGUUACGAUUAAAUGAAAGAUUCCUGAGAGGAUAUGCAGAUUCAUAAGACAAAUUGCAAAGUGAAUCGACAAGCGAAUGCUUAUCGUCAUUUAUGAAACAGCCUUAUGACAAGAAACACUCCGAGGUCAACUUCUUUAUUUAUGAAUUUUGAAGUCUGCACAAUUUAGCUCGACUCAUUGUCUCCACUAUUAUAUCAGAAAGAGGUGUUAACUUUUUAGGAAAAGAUAGUCUGGUUGCUAAGUAUUCGAGUUUGCAACCACGGGAACAAAUAUAAAAAAUUGCAACCGACAUUGAAAAGGUACCUGUGAGUAGUGAAAUAUGAUUAAUAAAUUAUUCCUGGUUCCUUGGCCAUUUGAGUUGAGGUUGCCAUAAAACAAGCACAUCGUAGAGAUUGAAUGCAAUUAAAGACGCUUGUUGUGACUAAGGUAGAACAUCAAUUGGCAGUAAAACCAGUGCUUUUGAAAAAUUUCCCAGGGCUUUCCAGCUAGAUGCUCCACCAGUUUCGAAGGAAAGAUGCAGAUUCUUUUAGUGGUGUUCAUGCUGAUGCGUUGUCAAAAGAGAAACAUUCAUUAGCACCCAUUUUGUUGUGUAUUCUCACACAAACACGAUAGGGCGAGAAGAAUUUGAAAACAGAUACACUGAAAGAGUGAAAUUUUAGCAAAAAGACACGAGAAACGCAUCCAUUGCCGCAAAAACGGAUGCUUUGAUUAGUUGGAUUGAUGCUGAAAGACAGAAAUUGGUUGCCUUGCAAGGGCAUGCACAAAGUGCCGUCACGAUAGAGGGCAUGAGGGGUGUGACACCCCCUCAAGGAAAAUUAUGUUUUAAAUAUUAAGGGGUUUUCACCAUCUAGGGGUGCUUUGUGGGCAAAGCUUCAAACAUGUCGGCAAAUGAAGGGUGGUCCACCCACUCUAUCAGAAAAUAGGACCUGAAAAACCCCCUAGUGACGUCCCUGAAUGCACACGUCCAUUUGCAGAAGAAAUAGAACGAAAAAUGUAUUGCUCUAUUUUAGUGCUUUAAACACAAUUGUAAUUUUAGCAGAGGUGUAAUAGGACUGGAACUUAACACAUUUAUGCUAGUAAUGCUUAUGAUGUUCUCUCUACUCGUCGUGCUCCUGUCCCUGCCCCAAGUUGUGCUGAAAAUUGGCAAAUUUCUACUUUUGCUGUUGUUUUUUGCAACAUUUUGUGCGAGAGCCCCCCUUGUUAUUUUGAUAGCACUACACCACUGGUUUUCACCCCAUUGAUGAUCAACUUCUUUGUCAGAAAUGAUGGUUUUUCUUUGGUUUUUCAAUCUUUAAUUAAAGUGCAUUGUAGAAUAAUGCACAAAGUUGAUCUACUUAGGAGAAAUAAUAUAUCCGUGAAAUUUCUGCUGCAAUAGGAAAAUUGAUAGAGAAUCUAUAAGAAAUGUUAAACUAAUUAUAUCUGCUUGAAAGCUGUUCCUUUAAAUCAAGAAAUUAUGAAUUGGAAAGCUUUUGAAUGUAGCAUACAGUAUUCUCUCUAAUGUGUGCCCCCUAUCCAGUUAAUAUCCUACUCCAAUGAGCGCUAUCUUUUGUAAGCAACAAGUUGAAUAAUUUUCCCUUUUUCAAAUAGUA